CAUAGGGAAAUUUAAGCCUAUUGUAUGCCUGUGUGUAGAGAGAACAUGGUGUGACUUAAGCUAGUUUCCUGCAAUCUUGUGUCGUUUUAUAUUAUCUUGUACCGGUAGAGUUGAUAACUUUUGGUUAGAGUAACAAUUACUUCAGCUGUGCCUGGAAUCAGCUUGUGAAAUAUCCCUUCCAUAGAAUCGAUGUGAUGCCUGUGACUCAAAGAAAAACGGCUUUAAUUACAUUUGUGUAACCAUAAGAGGAGAAAGUGGAAUGAUGUGCAAGAGCCUGUGACAGUGUGACAAAGUCUACAAUAGAAUGUGAAGUAUAAGGAAAGGAAGCAUUGCACAAUUUCUACAAGUUAAAGGCUACGUUUGGAAAAUUCUGGAGAACAAAGGUACUCUUCUUUCAGCUUGCACAGGGCAGUCUGCACAUCAAUGCAAAAUUCAAGGGAUUUGCAGCAAGCCUGAAGCAGUUUUACCUUGGCUUUCUCCAGUAGUCCCCAGCUUCACAGAUGUCCGUCUUCAGCUAAUCUGAUACCAGAAAAUGAGUCAAGGCUUUGGAUUUAGCAAAGGUAUAGGCCCUGACAACAUUCCAGCAAUAGUACUGAAGACUUGUGCUCCAGAACUUGUUGCUCCCUUACCAAACUGUUCCAGUGUAACGAGAACACUGGCAUUUACCCCAAAACUUGGAAAAUUGGCCAAGUUUGAGCUGUACAUGAGAAACAGGACAAAUAUGCAAGCCGGCUAAGUGCCUACUCUCAUUCAUCAGCAACAUCAUGAAGGGCUUGUUGGAGUGCUAUCAGGUAGUGCUGGCAGAGGUGUAACCUGCUCACUGACACUCAGCUUGGGUUAUGCCAGGGCCACUCAGCCUUGUUUCAAACAUGGACAAAUGAGCUGGAUUGCAGAGGUAGGUGAGAGUGACAGCCCUUGACAUCAAGACAGUAUUUUACUAAGUAUCCAGGAGCAAAACUGGAGUCAACUGAAAUCAUGUGGAAAACCCUCCACUGAUUGGAAUUUGGUUGUGGUGUUAUGGUAUUGGAGAUGAGUCAUCUCAGCUCCAGGUCAACUCUGCAGGUGUUUCUCAGGGUAAUGUCCAUAGGCCCAACCAUCUUCAGCAGCUUCUUCAAUGAACGUCCCUUCAUCAUAAGGUCAGAAGUGGGGAUGUUCAGCACCAUUUGUGACUCCUCAGACACUGAAGCAACUCACAGGGCAGAGGCUUUUUAAAGAGAUUGAAAACAUGUUGUCUUGAUUAGCUGUCUGAUUAGUCUUCCUUCAAUGACUCAGUAACAUCCAUUAACCAGGUAAUGAGAAAGGCUCAGUAAUGCUAUUCCUUUUAUGUCUUCCCUUCCAGUUCAUAAUCAGGCUUCACUUCUAUUAAAGGUCUAGAUGAUACUAAUGGCUUGAUAGAAUGUUGAAUGACACAAGCCUUUUGGCCUAUCAUAUCCAUUCCC